GAUGAACGCUGGCGGCGUGCCUAAUACAUGCAAGUCGAGCGAACAGACGAGGAGCUUGCUCCUCUGACGUUAGCGGCGGACGGGUGAGUAACACGUGGAUAACCUACCUAUAAGACUGGGAUAACUUCGGGAAACCGGAGCUAAUACCGGAUAAUAUAUUGAGCCGCAUGGUUCAAUAGUGAAAGACGGUUUUGCUGUCACUUAUAGAUGGAUCCGCGCCGCAUUAGCUAGUUGGUAAGGUAACGGCUUACCGAGGCAACGAUGCGUAGCCGACCUGAGAGGGUGAUCGGCCACACUGGAACUGAGACACGGUCCAGACUCCUACGGGAGGCAGCAGUAGGGAAUCUUCCGCAAUGGGCGAAAGCCUGACGGAGCAACGCCGCGUGAGUGAUGAAGGUCUUCGGAUCGUAAAACUCUGUUAUUAGGGAAGAACAAAUGUGUAAGUAACUAUGCACGUCUUGACGGUACCUAAUCAGAAAGCCACGGCUAACUACGUG
rnacentral:rRNA from 1 species